AAUGAACGCUGGCGGAAUGCUUUACACAUGCAAGUCGAACGGUAGAGGGGGCAACCCCUCGAGAGUGGCGAACGGGUGAGUAAUAUAUCGGAACGUGCCCAGUCGUGGGGGAUAACGUAGCGAAAGUUACGCUAAUACCGCAUACGAUCUAAGGAUGAAAGCGGGGGAUCGCAAGACCUCGCGCGAUUGGUGCGGCCGAUAUCAGAUUAGGUAGUUGGUGGGGUAAAGGCUCACCAAGCCAACGAUCUGUAGCUGGUCUGAGAGGACGACCAGCCACACUGGAAGUGAGACGCGGUCCAGACUCCUACGGGAGGCAGCAGUGGGGAAUUUUGGACAAUGGACGCAAGUCUGAUCCAGCCAUUCCGCGUGCAGGAUGAAGGCCCUCGGGUUGUAAACUGCUUUUGUACGGAACGAAAAGGUCUCUCUUAAUACGGGGGACUCAUGACGGUACCGUAAGAAUAAGCACCGGCUAACUACGUGCCAGCCGCCGCAGUAA
rnacentral:rRNA from 1 species